CUCACCAGGUCAGGACACGGUAAGGAUUGACGGACUGAAGGCUCUUUCUCGAUUCCGUGGAAAGUGGUGCAUGGCCGUUUUUGGUUGGUGGAUCGAUCCGUCUGGUUAAUUCCGUUAACGAACGAGACCUCGGCACUCCGAAUAGCGCGGCGGACGUCGCGGCCUCCGGGCCGUCUUCCGCACGAGCUUCUUAGAGGGACCGUCCCCCGCCGGGGAAGGAGGUGCGAGGCAACGACAGGUCUGUGAUGCCCUUAGAUGUUCUGGGCCGCACGCGCAUUACACUGACGCGUCCAACGGGUGACUCCCGACCCGAAGGGGCCGGGGAAUCCGCAAGGCGCGUCGUGAUGGGGAUUGAACGUUGCAAUUGUUGUUCACGAACGAGGAAUUCCUAGUAGGCGCGGGUCAUCAACCCGCGCCGAUUACGUCCCUGCCCUUUGUA
rnacentral:rRNA from 1 species